rnacentral:lncRNA from 1 species
CCACAUUAAAUGCGUAGCCCAAACCCACAAGCAACCUUUAACCCAACCUAAAUACCCAAUGUCCACUUGCCUAAAAAUCCAUAAUUGGAUUAGAGUGAUUAGGUCUCACUGUUGACGGGUUGACGAGAGGGACGGGACCAAAGGGUUUGAAACUUUGAGAGUUGAGGGAUUUUUUUUUCCAAUCUAUCUUCUUGCCGUUUGCCGUUGCCAUUGUCUUCGCAUCGAAGUUCUUGCCAUCGAUAUUUAUUUGAUGUACGUGAGUUUUAUUUGAUGUUGUGUAGUUGGUUUCUAUUUUGUUUUGCUGUGUUGAGUGCAUUCUUCUAUUAGGUUUACAUUUUGUUUUCAUAGGACUUUAUAUGACAAAUAUGUUUGAUUUUAUAUGACGUUAUAUGGUAAAUCUGUUUACAUUUUGUUUUGCUGCGUUAAUUUACAUUUUGUUUUCAUAGGACGUUAAAUGACAAUUCUGUUUGAUUUGGGAGUUGGAAUGGUGGAUGUCUCGUUCUCUAUUAGGUUUUCUAUGGAGAAAAUAAAAUCUCAAAAUGUCAAAAUUGCAAUGUAAAUGAUUGAUUUUUCAUUCACAGAACACUACCAAUUAUUAGGUUUGUUAUAGUUAAUUCGUUUUCUUCUUUUUUUCAUGUCAGUUGGUUAGUUUUAUUAGUUGGGAAGUAUGUGAAAAAUUCCUAUUAAAAGUUUAUUAUUGCCUAAUUCGUGUUGUGAGUAGACCUUGUUGUCAGAAUUCUUAAGAUUAACAUAAGGUGAAGAGUAAAAUUCAGCUCUUUCCAUUCUCAAUAAUUUUUAUUUUGUAAAUUAUUUUCAUAUGAAUUAAGCUAAGUAAAAAAUGCCAAAUUUUGGGAUGUUAGAAACUUCAUAAAUUCUUGACGUUUUGGCCUUGAAUUUUCAUUACAGAACUCUUCAACUAACAUAACAGAUAACAGGUAUUCAAAGGUUUUGAAGGAACUAAAGGACCGUCCACACCUAGUAGGCUCGACUUUAGUAAGUGCUUAAACGAGAAAAUGAUCCCUGAUUUUCUCAAGAUUAUAUUAAAACCAUCAUUAGUAAAAGUGUAACUCGCUCCUGGAAACUCAAGAUAACAACAGAGUAGCUUCAACCCCUUUAUAUAAAUAUCUAUACUCUCUUUUAACGUGAAGGUCAUUUAGGUAUAAUAUAAUAGGUUUAUGUCAUGGUCCUUCAUUAAGGUUAGUUGUAAGAUUGUAUUGAUUGUGCUUUUACCUUGUCCAAAAGCAUUACCCUGAAGACAGACAACUUGCUAUAAGAUUGAUAUAUUUUAAAAUUUUAUACUAUGGAUCCUCUUGACUUUUUGUUGAAAAUAGUGUCAUUCAUUAUGGGAGGAGAAUUUGGAACUUGACUGGGUAAGGAAGAAAAAAAUCAAUUAACUCAAAGAAUCGUGUUUACCAAGACAAAAUAUAAGGUAUGUGAAUAUGAAUAUGAAUAUGAUUAUAUUAUUUCAUUUGUGUUGAUUGCUUAUCUGUACCUAUAGACGUUGGGUUUUAAGCCAUUUUCUGUAUACAAACCAGCUGUUUGAAUUGAUAUUGUUCUAAUUAACCAAAACCUACAUUAAUUGAUUUAUAAACACCUUUCAUUGCAAUGACCAGUGGAUCUUGAUGCUAAAAGGGACCUUAAGCUACUUCUAUGAUUAUUUUUUUGCAUUUCUAAUAUAGGUGAAAUUUGUUAUAUCAACGAAUAAGUGAUUUAUUUCUUUUCAUUGAUAUUUGUACAUUUAAAAUUUUAUCUUAUGUAGUUUUCUGUGUAUUCAUACUACAAUCUCUAAUAUGUCCAUCUGGCAGAACUUGUGUAUGUUAUAUUUUUGUGUUGCUUUCAAAUCAAUCACGAAAUAUAUAUUUUCAUUAAUACACAAUAUUUUGAUGAUAUAUUAGCGAUACAAUUAUACAUUAGUGGUAUUAGUUGUAUCUAAAAUACGGUCCACUAAUAAGAUAUUAUUUUUGCGAUUUAUAGAUAACUUUCUCACACUGAUAUAACGUUCUGGACGAAAAGUGCAUCCUGGCUCAAGUCUCGCAAGUGUACAACACCAAAUAUAUAAUAGUUGUCCUCAACAAACUCCAUGCACAGCAAAAGCAUACAUUUGACGAAAGUUACAUAGGACAUGUUGCGAAGUUGUUGAAGCCCAAACUAUUUGGACAAUUAAUUCACAUAGUGGUUAACAGUUUGUCGAAAAAGUUCCAAAGCUUGGUUCAAGGUGAACCAAUGGUUUGCACAAUUCGGACUGCCGGAGUUUGCAUUAAUCACCAGGUUGAAGUGUGGUGAAGUACCGAAAGGUGAGGGUUUUAGCAACAUCCUAGGAAAAAUCCGACUAUGGGACAAAUUGUAUUCCCGUAGAGACCGGGUAACAUGUAGCUACCUCGAGAAUGUUUUCCUAAAAUGUGCCAACCGUAACGAUCAUUACAAACUUAGGUUAGCGCUAAUUAUUAAAGGGAUAUUCAAUUGUAGAGAUCGAAACAUGGGGAUACAUCAUGAAACUCUCUUCAUCAUGGAUGACUUGGAUUUUUUCAAUGCCCACCCGUGGGGAUAGUAUGCUUCAAAUUUCUUAUCAAAUCACUUCUUCGUGGAUGGGGGAGAAAGGAAGACUUGGCAAAGGUCCACGCUGUGAUCGGAUGUCUUACACGUACAAUUUCUCUCUUGCUGUUGAGGUACACUUGUUCAGUAUUCAUUUCAUUUUUUCCCGUCCUACGUUGUUAUGUGCCUAUGUAUAUAGUAACCACUGUUAUGUUUUUCAUGAAAUUGUGGGUGCACGAGAUAAUCCCGGAGUUGGGAGCUCGAUUUAUGCCAAAGAAGGGUGAAGAUGUUCCGAGGAUAUUGCGGUGGAUUGUCACAAGACAACCUCAGUCUCGAACAUAUUCGGACUUCUUCGAGAAGACGCAUGUGACCAUUUUCCAUAUAAAAUCACUCUUACAAUUUUGGAAUGGCUAAUAAUUAUUUUUGUCAUUUUUAUCCUCCCCUUGUAGGUGCACUUGUGGGCGAUGCUGCUGCUAUUGCUUCAGAAGAAUUGCAGCCAUAUUUUGCUAGUUUUGUUACUAUACAAGACACAUCAGACCCCAUUCUAGACAGCCUCAUUGCUCAGUCAAUAGACAUACAGGAUUGUCCACCUGAAGGUGAAGCUAUGCACAAUGUGAACAAUAAUGAAGGACAAAAAUCUUGGAGAGGCAACACAGGUGGACUUUGUCUUUGAGAUUUGCAUCCCGCUGAAGGUGGAGAUAAAGACCAUGACGACCCGUUCAUCGGCUUGCCAUCUUCUACCUCAUGCCACCGUCCACCCGUGAGGCCCUUGUCUUUAGAGGAGAAAAGAUCAUUCUUGAAUGAACAAAGGGAGGAAUUUAAGGGUAGGUUGGGCGAGUUGAUGGAAGAAAUGAAUGUGAGAUUUGAUAGUUUGAAAAAUGAAAUGGGUGGUCAUGCGCACGGUUUGAGAAAGCAUGUGACUGAUGAGGUAAAUCUGAUUCGACGUAUGUUUGAUGAAGCAACUACUAACUUUGGGGGCCACAAUGUCACCGACCUGUUCUCUUAUACACAUCUNUUUAGAGGAGAAAAGAUCAUUCUUGAAUGAACAAAGGGAGGAAUUUAAGGGUAGGUUGGGCGAGUUGAUGGAAGAAAUGAAUGUGAUAUUUGCUAGUUUGAAAAAUGAAAUGGGUGGUCAUGCGCACGGUUUGAGAAAGCAUGUGACUGAUGAGGUAAAUCUGAUUCGACGUAUGUUUGAUGAAGCAACUACUAACUUUGGGGGCCACAAUGUCACCGGCAAGUAUGGUAAAUUUCAGGACUAUUGCGGUGGAGAUAUGCCCCACCGUGAUGGUAAAGAUCACAAUUUGACUCCAAAUGUGGAAGUGGACACAUAACAUCAACCGAAGCAGUUGGUUGCCAGAUCAAUGAUGUGUUCAGAAUGUUGAUGGCUGGGGUUGGAGUCCAAGGGUCAGUACAUGCUGCUCGUGAUGGUGUAACUGAGGCACCAAACACUGUACCUACAGGUGCUGUCUCCAUUGAUGCUCCACCGGUUGACGAUGUCAUCGUUGUUGAACCCUCGAAGAUUGCUGAUCUCCCCUUACGUAGACCUCGAUCGUUGAGGCUAAAGAUGCCUAGUGCGAACACUAAGACACCAUUCACACGAUCGGGCCGCAAGAGAGGUAAGAAGGUUGUGUAGACUAUAUUCAAGUAUCUUUGUUUACAGUCCGGACUGGCUGUCCGACAUUUUUUCCAUGCGAACUUGUGUUUUAUAUAUUGGUGGCAUGUUCGGAAGGUUGCAUGCUUAAAAUAGUUUAUUACUAUAAAAGUUCCUACUGUUGGCUUGCAAUAUGCACAAGUAAGAUAAAGACUAUUUCAUGUUGUAAGGAACGUCCUUUUUUUUAAUUAUUUUUUUAUUUUUAUAGACUGCAUUUCAUUGUACUGACUUUGGUUGCUAUUUAAUGUCUUCGUAUAUUUGCUAUGAUCAUGUUGACUUAGUUAUUGUGAAACAUUCACAUUUGAAGGUCUAUAGGGUAUCUUUUUACCAGUUCCAUAUUGGCAUGAGAAUAAAAUGAUCAUUAUUUUUUCAAUUAAUAAAUGUUUGUAGCUUAUAUUGAUAGAUAGUGUAAAAGUCUUAUCUUUGAC